rnacentral:rRNA from 1 species
UACGGGGGGAGCAAGCGUUGUUCGGAUUUACUGGGCGUAAAGGGCGCGUAGGCGGUCAGCACAAGUCAGUUGUGAAAUCUCCGGGCUUAACUCGGAAAGGUCAACUGAUAAUGUGCGACUAGAGUGCAGAAGGGGCAACUGGAAUUCUCGGUGUAGCGGUGAAAUGCGUAGAUAUCGAGAGGAACACCUGCGGCGAAGGCGGGUUGCUGGGCUGACACUGACGCUGAUGCGCGAAAGCCAGGGGAGCGAACGGG